UCGGCAUUAGUUGCUAACAGGUUAUGCUGAGCACUCUAAUGCGACCGCCGGGGAUAACCUGGAGGAAGGUGGGGAUGACGUCAAGUCAUCAUGGCCCUUAUGUCCAGGGCUACACACGUGCUACAAUGGGAUGUACAAUGGGUUGCAAUACCGCGAGGUGGAGCUAAUCCCUAAAGCAUCCCACAGUUCGGAUUGCACUCUGCAACUCGAGUGCAUGAAGCUGGAAUCGCUAGUAAUCACCGGUCAGCUAUACGGUGGUGAA
rnacentral:rRNA from 1 species